GAGGAGGAGAGAGAAGGGCAUCGCAGUGGGGGGAGGAGAGAGAAAGGCAUCGCAGUGGGGGACAGGAGAGAGAAGGGCAUCGCAGUGGGGAGGAGGAGAGAGAAGGGCAUCGCAGUGGGGGUGAGGAGAGAGAAAGGCAUCACAGUGGGGGGGAGGAGAGAGAAGGGCAUCGCAGUGGGGGGGAGGAGAGAGAAGGGCAUCGCAGUGGGGGGGAGGAGAGAGAAAGGCAUCGCAGUGGGGGGGAGGAGAGAGAAGGCCAUCGCAGUGGGGGGGAGGAGAGAGAAGGCCAUCGCAGUGGGGGGGAGGAGAGAGAAGGGCAUCGCAGUGGAGGAGAGAGAAGGGCAUCGCAGUGGAGGAGAGAGAAAGGCAUCGCAGUGGAGGAGAGAGAAAGGCAUUGCAGUGUAGGAGAGAGAAAGGCAUCACAGUGGAGGAGAGGAGAGAGAAAGGCAUCGCAGUGGAGGAGAGGAGAGAGAAGGGCAUCGCAGGGGAGGAGAGGAGAGAGAAGGGCAUCGCAGUGGAGGAGAGGAGAGAGAAGGGCAUCGCAGGGGAGGAAGAGAGAGAAGGGCAUCGCAGUGGAGGGGAGGAGCGAGAAGGCUAUCGCAGUGGGGGGGAGGAGAGAGAAGGGCAUCGCAGUGGGGGGGGAGAGAAGGUCAUCGCAGUGGGGGGGAGGAGAGAGAAAGGCAUCGCAGUGGGGAACAGGAGAGAGAAAGGCAUCGCAGUGGGGGGGAGGAGAGAGAAAGGCAUCGCAGUGGGGGUGGGGGAGAGAGAAGGUCAUCGCAGUGGGGGGGGAGGAGAGAGAAGGGCAUCGCAGGGGGACAGGAGAAAGAAAGGCAUCGCAGUGGGGGGAGGAGAGAGAAGGGCAUCGCAGUGGGGGGGGGGGAGAGAGAAAGGCAUCGCAGUGGGGGGGAGGAGAGAGAAGGGCAUCGCAGUGGGGGGGAGGAGAGAGAAGGGCAUCGCAGUGGGGGGUAGGAGAGAGAAGGGCUUCGCAGUGGGGGGGAGGAGAGAGAAAGGCAUCGCAGUGGAGGAGAGAGAAAGGCAUCACAGUGGAGGAGAGGAGAGAGAAAGGCAGCGCAGUGGAGGAGAGGAGAGAGA
rnacentral:lncRNA from 1 species